rnacentral:rRNA from 1 species
AUUGAACGCUGGCGGCAUGCCUUACACAUGCAAGUCGAACGGCAGCACGGGUGCUUGCACCUGGUGGCGAGUGGCGAACGGGUGAGUAAUACAUCGGAACGUACCUUAUCGUGGGGGAUAACGCAGCGAAAGUUGCGCUAAUACCGCAUACGCCCUGAGGGGGAAAGCGGGGGACCGUAAGGCCUCGCGCGAUUAGAGCGGCCGAUGUCUGAUUAGCUUGUUGGUGAGGUAAAAGCUCACCAAGGCGAUGAUCAGUAGCUGGUCUGAGAGGACGAUCAGCAACACUGGGACUUAGACACGGCCCAGACUCCUACGGGAGGCAGCAGUGGGGAAUUUUGGACAAUGGGGGCAACCCUGAUCCAGCAAUGCCGCGUGAGUGAAGAAGGCCUUCGGGUUGUAAAGCUCUUUUGUCAGGGAAGAAACAGCAGCUCUAACACAGUCUGCGAAUGACGGUACCUGAAGAAUAAGCACCGGCUAACUACGUGCCAGCCGCCGCGGUAA